CAAUCCCUGCGGCGUUCGUGAGGCAAUGUUCCCCUGGCCCAACUCGUUGGUGAUUGGAACUGGGACUCUCACGUUGAACGCCCCCUCGCCUGGGUGGGAAGUCUUUCUCCAGAUGGCGAGGGGCUUUCACACCAGAUCCACCUGUUUAUCCGUGGACCUUGUGGUUCCGUGCCCACGACGCCUGCGGGGAUAUA
rnacentral:other from 1 species